rnacentral:lncRNA from 1 species
GCAGCUGGUGGGCCUGGUCUGGUCUUCACCCUGCUCAGCUUCUGGAGUACCUUAGGCAGGUGAGCUCCAGGUGAGCUCCAGGUGAGCCCUGCUGUCCUGUGACUGACAGCUCGGCCUAUUCCAAGUGUUCUGGGUGGUGCUGAGGGAAGCAUGUCUGUUUCUGUGUGCAGCAUCAGACCCUCGGUCAUCAUUUUCUUCAGGAUGGGCCCUAAACCUGAGAGCAGUGUGUGAGCCUGUAUGUGCACUUGCCCGUGAAAGUGGACAUGAGCUUUGAGGGCCCAUGUGGGUGCUGCGUGGUGCCUUUUUUGUCUUUAGCAAGUUCCUAUGGUAACCAGUAACAUGUCUGUUUUGGGAUUUAGAGUCUGGGGCGUGAGUGGCUGGCUACAGAGAGAAGCAAGGCGGGCAGGUGCUUAGCUGGCAAUUGGGCUGUGGUCUGAUUUCAUUGCUAGGCACUGGGGACACACCUGGAGGUGCCAAUUGCCAGGUGGCAAGGUCUGCAAACUCCAGGGACCUGUGUGCUCCUGGUGCUUAUCCUGGUCGGUCCCCAUCAUGCCCAGAAAGCCUUGGUGAGUCCCUGUUCUGGUUUCUGGGUGGACAGACAGCUUCCCAGAACUUGACCAGGUCUGGUGGGUGUCUGCUAAUGGGCAGGCAGGGAGCGACUGGUAGUCCUGGCCAGUAGGUCCUGAGGAUUGGUGCUUUUAUGAGAUGGGUGUGGGUUGGUAGGCAGGAAGGGCUCUGAUUCUACCUGGAGCCCUGUGAGGGUAUUCUCCAUGUGGUUGGUGGAGCAGAAUGGGACAUGGCUGCUGGGCACAUGGGCGCAUGCCUGUAAUUCCAGUGGCUCAGGAGGCUGAGGCAGGAGGAUCACAAGUUUUAAGCCAGCCUCAGUAACUUAUCAAGGCCUUAAGCAAUGUAGCAAGACCCUGUCUCAAAAAAAAAAAAAAAAAGGAAUGGGACAUGGUUAACUGUGUUAGUGUGGGGGGCAAGGACAGGGAGGUGGGAGAGAAUGCCCAUGGGGCAGCCUAUGUCCUACCAGCCCAGGCCCACUCCAUUCAGCUCCCUGAAUCCUUGCAUGGUUCCUGUUUCUGGCUGUCCAGUUGGCCUUUCUCACAGGUAUCCCAGCCCAGAGCCCUGCACAGUCCUGGGAUGGGAGACGCAUAGUCUGGAGAACUCUGUUGGG